rnacentral:rRNA from 1 species
AUUGAACGCUGGCGGCAGGCCUAACACAUGCAAGUCGAGCGGAUGAGUGGAGCUUGCUCCAUGAUUCAGCGGCGGACGGGUGAGUAAUGCCUAGGAAUCUGCCUGGUAGUGGGGGACAACGUUUCGAAAGGAACGCUAAUACCGCAUACGUCCUACGGGAGAAAGUGGGGGAUCUUCGGACCUCACGCUAUCAGAUGAGCCUAGGUCGGAUUAGCUAGUUGGUGAGGUAAAGGCUCACCAAGGCGACGAUCCGUAACUGGUCUGAGAGGAUGAUCAGUCGCACUGGAACUGAGACACGGUCCAGACUCCUACGGGAGGCAGCAGUGGGGAAUAUUGGACAAUGGGCGAAAGCCUGAUCCAGCCAUGCCGCGUGUGUGAAGAAGGUCUUCGGAUUGUAAAGCACUUUAAGUUGGGAGGAAGGGCAGUAAGUUAAUACCUUGCUGUUUUGACGUUACCAACAGAAUAAGCACCGGCUAACUUCGUG